AAGAUGACCCAUCUCUAAACAAAGCAAACUGACUAGGAUUCUCUCAUGCUUAACAUGCAUCUUACUGGUUCUUUAUGAAGAGCUUUCUCUUGGAUUUACAGAAAGCGUGGUGCUGGCAUCUGAUCAGCUUCUGGGGUGGCCUCAGGAAGCUUACAAUCAUGGUGGCAUUUGAAGUGGAAGCGAGAGAGAGAAGAGGAGAUGCAACACACUUUUAAACAAGAUUUCAGGAGAACUCAUUCACUAUGUUCUGGAGACCAGAAGGCCAAAAUCAAAAGUAUGGGCAGGCUUGAUUUCUUUAGAAGACUCCAGCGGAGAACUGUGUCUCCUUGCUUCUGAUUCUACAUCUCCAUCCAUGGGCCACUGUUUCAGCAACCUCAGCCAGUGCAACACAACCUCAGCCAAGAAGAGUAUGCAGAGAAAGGAGUCCCCUACCUGCCACAAAACUGUUGUCUGAAAACUGUCUCAUAUUGUCUCAAGUUGUCAUUCAUUGUGAAUUAGACCUGUUUAACAUGUAAUCUGCAACAUGCUUCACUGUCUAAUUUUCCAGAGCCCCUCAUAUAAGGAACUGUAUUAUUGGUAUAAUCAUCAUGGUGAAGAAGUUGGUAUGUGGGGGAGAGAUGACAGAAACAGAGAGUAAGUCAGAGCUGGCUGCCUGACAGAUAAAAAGGAAAUGACCAAAAAAAAAAAAAAAGACACAGAAGAAUACUUUG
rnacentral:lncRNA from 1 species